UUAAGAUACUAAGAGCAUACGGUGGAUGCCUUGGCGAUAUCUGCCGACGAAGGACGUGACAAGCUGCGAAAAGCUGCGGAGAGAUGCAAAUAAUCGGCGACCCGCAGACAUCCGAAUGGAGAAAUCCGGCUGUGAUGAUGCACAGCCAUCCAUGCCCAAGAGCAUGAGAAGGGAACCGGGCGAACUGAAACAUCUAAGUAACCCGAGGAAAAGAAAUCAAACGAGAUACCCCAAGUAGCGGCGAGCGAACAGGGAAGAAGCCCAAACCGGUGAAGGGAACUUUACCGGGGUUGAGGACCAUCAGACCCGCGAAGAACCUUAGCCGAAACUGUUGGGAAACAGUGCCAAAGACAGUGAAAGCCUGGUAGGCGAAAAAGAGAAACGCGGAGAUGGCACCAGAGUACCGCGGGACACGAGAAAUCCCGUGGGAAGCAGGGGGGACCACCCUCCAAGGCAAAACACAGAUAUCGACCGAUAGCGCAUAGUACCAUGAGGGAAAGGUGAAAAGCACCCCGGGAGGGGAAUGAAAGAGAACCUGAAACCGUAUGUUUACAAGCAGUCGGAGACCGCUUAAUAAUAAGGUCGACGGCGUGCCUAUUGAAGAAUGAACCGGCGAGUUACGAAGCCUGGCAAGGUUAAGCAGGAAAUGCGGAGCCGAAGCGAAAGCGAGUCUUAAGAGGGCGCAAGUCAGGAAGCGUAGACCCGAAACCACAGUGAUCUACCCAUGUCCAGGUUGAAACACAGGUAAAAAUGUGUGGAGGACCGAACCUAUAUCCGUUGAAAAGGGUUAGGAUGAGGUGUGGGUAGGGGUGAAAUUCCAAUCGAACGUGGAGAUAGCUGGUUCUCCCCGAAAUAGCUUUAGGGCUAGCCUCAGGGAAAAGAUUGCAGGCGGUAGAGCACUGAUCAGGAGAGGGACCUACCCGGUUACCAAACCCAGUCAAACUCCGAAUGGCUGCAAUCAUACCUGGGAGUCAGACUGCGACUAAUAAGGGCCGCAGUCAAAAGGGAAACAGCCCAGACCAUCAGCUAAGGUCCCCAAUGCCGUGCUAAGUGGCGAAGGAUGUGGCAUUUCAUAAACAACCAGGAUGUUGGCUCAGAAGCAGCCACCAUUUAAAGAGUGCGUAAUAGCUCACUGGUCGAGAGACGCUGCGCCGAAAAUGUCCGGGGCUCAAGCACGGAACCGAAGCUAUGGCAUGAUAGCAAUAUCAUGGGUAGGGGAGCGUUCUUAUAAGGAAGAAGCAUGACCGGAAGGACAUGUGGACGAAUAAGAAGUGAGAAUGCCGGUAUGAGUAUCGAAAAGAAAGGUGAGAAUCCUUUCCACCGAAAGCCCGAGGGUUCCUGAGCAACGAUCGUCGACUCAGGGUAAGUCGGGACCUAAGCCGAGGCGAGAAGCGUAGGCGAUGGACAACAGGUUGAAAUUCCUGUACCGGAUCAAGUCGAUUGAGCGAAGGAGCGACGCAGGAGGGCACAUGAUCGCGCGGGUGGAAGAGCGCGUCCAAGUGCGUAUGUUGCUGCAGAGGAAAACCCCUGCGGCUGAAAGCAGAGACAUGAAGGGGAGUUAAAGGAAACUUUGACGAACUCAUGAAUCCCACACUGCCAAGAAAAACUUCUAGCGAGACAAGAUCCGCCCGUACCGUAAACCGACACAGGUAGGCGGGGAGAGAAUCCUAAGGUGCGCGGGAAAACCCUCGUUAAGGAACUCGGCAAAUUGCAUCCGUAACCUAGGGAGAAGGAUGGCCCCCGGUCAGUGAAGAGCAGAAACGCUCAGAGCUAAAAGGGGCGGCAGAAAAGAGGCCCAAGCAACUGUUUACCAAAAACACAGGUGCCUGCGAAAGCGAAAGCUGAAGUAUAGGUGCUGACGCCUGCCCGGUGCCGGAAGGUUAAGGAGAGAAGUUAGCGAAAGCGAAGCAUCGAACUGAAGCCCCGGUGAACGGCGGCCGUAACUAUAACGGUCCUAAGGUAGCGAAAUUCCUUGUCGGGUAAG
rnacentral:rRNA from 1 species